rnacentral:rRNA from 1 species
UACGAAGGGGGCUAGCGUUGCUCGGAUUUACUGGGCGUAAAGGGCGCGUAGGCGGACAGUUUAGUCAGAGGUGAAAGCCCAGGGCUCAACCUUGGAAUUGCCUUUGAUACUGGCUGUCUUGAGUACGGGAGAGGAUAGUGGAAUUCCCAGUGUAGAGGUGAAAUUCGUAGAUAUUGGGAAGAACACCGGUGGCGAAGGCGGCUAUCUGGACCGUAACUGACGCUGAGGCGCGAAAGCGUGGGGAGCAAACAGG